AUGGUGGAGUUCACUAUUCUUGGCGGGGCCAGGAAGGGAACCAGUAAAACCACUGUAUUGGACUUUCGGAGGGCUGACUUUGAGCUGCUCAGGACACUGGUUGGUGGAGUCCCAUGGGAGGCGGUUCUGAAGGGCAGAGGGGUCCAGAAAGGCUGGGCGCUCUUUAAGAGGCAAAUCCUAAUGGCGCAGGAGCGGUCUAUUCCCAUGCACCCAAAGAUGAGCCAGCGGGGAAGAAGACCAGCCUGGCUCAACAGAGAACUGUGGCUUGAGCUUAGGAGAAAAAAGAGGGUUUAUAAUCUUUGGAAAAUUGGGCAGGCCACUAGGGAGGACUAUAAGGAUGUAGCGAGGCUGUGCAGGGACAAGAUUAGGAAGGCCAAAGCUCAUCUGGAGCUCAAUCUGGCUACUGCCGUUAAAGAUAACAAAAAAUGCUUUUAUAAAUACAUCAACACCAAAAGGAGGACUAGGGAGAAUCUCCAUCCUUUACUGGAUGCAGGGGGAAACUUAGUUACAAGAGAUGAGGAAAAGGCGGAGGUGCUUAAUGCCUUCUUUGCCUCAGUCUUUAGCGGCAAAACCGGUUGCUCUCUGGAUACCCAGUACCCAGAACUGGUGGAAGGGGACGGGGAGCAGGAUGUGGCCCUCACCAUCCACGAAGAACUGGUUGGUGACCUGCUACGGCACUUGGAUGUCCACAAAUCGAUGGGGCCGGAUGGGAUCCACCCAAGGGUACUGAGAGAACUGGCAGAGGAGCUGGCCAAGCCCCUAUCCAUCAUUUAUCAGCAGUCCUGGCUAUCGGGGGAGGUCCCAGCUGACUGGCGACUAGCAAAUGUGACGCCCAUCUACAAGAAGGGCCGGAGGGCAGACCCGGGGAACUACAGGCCUGUCAGUUUGACCUCAGUACCAGGGAAGCUCAUGGAGCAGAUCCUCUUGGGAGUCAUCAUGCGGCACUUGAAGGGCAAGCAGGCGAUCAGGCCCAGCCAGCAUGGGUUUAUGGAAGGCAGGUCCUGCUUGACGAACCUGAUCUCCUUCUACGACAAAGUGACGCGCUGGGUGGACGAGGGAAGGGCUGUGGAUGUCAAAAGCCUUCAGCAAGGCUUUUGA
rnacentral:lncRNA from 1 species